CCUACGGGAGGCAGCAGUAGGGAAUAUUGCGCAAUGGAGGGAACUCUGACGCAGCGACGCCGCGUGAGCGAUGAAGGUUUUCGGAUCGUAAAGCUCUGUCCUUGGGGAAGAAGGUCUUCGGACUUGACGGUACCUAAGGAGGAAGCCCCGGCUAACUACGUGCCAGCAGCCGCGGUAAUACGUAGGUGGCAAGCGUUGUCCGGAAUUACUGGGUGUAAAGGGCGUGUAGGCGGGAAGGCAAGUCAGAUGUGAAAGCCCAUGGCUUAACUGUGGAAUUGCAUCUGAAACUGUUUUUCUUGAGUGCUGGAGAGGAAAGUGGAAUUCCUAGUGUAGCGGUGAAAUGCGUAGAGAUUAGGAGGAACACCAGUGGCGAAGGCGGCUUUCUGGACAGUAACUGACGCUGAGGCGCGAAAGCGUGGGGAGCAAACAGGAUUAGAUACCCGAGUAGUC
rnacentral:rRNA from 1 species